rnacentral:sRNA from 1 species
AUCUAGAGCAGAUGUAAGGCUGUGUCGAGAUAACCUAAUCAAUGAUAAGAGAGGUUUGCAAGUCUAUCGUUGAAGAAAUUACAUUUCUUAGGAGAACAAAAACUUGGAUAGUUUAAGCGCUUCUAUCUGAAAAUGCGUUCUUUGAUUUAUCUUCUGCUGGUUAUGGCUAUAGUUGGAGUAAUCAUUCGUCAGGCAGAAUCAAUUCGGAAUCCAGAAGAUUGUCAAUUCAAAAAAGGUUGUCAAACCCUCGCAGAUUGCUUCCUAGGGACAAACAUCCGACAUUACGAAGAGUGCCUUGAUGGUUGCUGCGUCAUUUUUAUGGUUUGAUGUCUGAAUUCUGAUGGUUGAAAGAUGAUACAUUGAAGACUCCAAUUAGAUCUAAUUAUUACGUCUGUAGUUUACCGACAAAAACAACUUUCUUUUUCUGUGAGCACAACGUGAAUAAAGAUUUGAUGAAUAUA